AGAGUUUGAUCCUGGCUCAGGAUGAACGCUAGCGGCAGGCCUAACACAUGCAAGUCGAGGGGCAGCACGGGAUAGUUUACUAUUUUGGUGGCGACCGGCGCACGGGUGCGUAACGCGUAUGCAACCUACCCUUAACUGGAGGAUAGCCCGGAGAAAUUCGGAUUAAUACUCCAUAGUACUGAUGAUUUGCAUAAUGAAUCAGUUAAAGUUUCGGCGGUAUAAGAUGAGCAUGCGCCCUAUUAGCUAGUUGGUGAGGUAACGGCUCACCAAGGCAACGAUAGGUAGGGGGUCUGAGAGGGUUAUCCCCCACACUGGUACUGAGACACGGACCAGACUCCUACGGGAGGCAGCAGUGAGGAAUAUUGCACAAUGGACGAAAGUCUGAUGCAGCCAUGCCGCGUGCAGGAUGAAUGCCCUAUGGGUUGUAAACUGCUUUUAUAUAGGAAGAAACUUUUCUACGUGUAGAAAACUGACGGUACUAUAAGAAUAAGGACCGGCUAACUCCGUGCCAGCAGCCGCGGUAAUACGGAGGGUCCAAGCGUUAUCCGGAUUUAUUGGGUUUAAAGGGUCCGUAGGCGGGAAAUUAAGUCAGUGGUGAAAGCCUACAGCUCAACUGUAGAACUGCCAUUGAAACUGAUUUUCUUGAAUAUAGAUGAAGUGGGCGGAAUAUAUCAUGUAGCGGUGAAAUGCAUAGAUAUGAUAUAGAACACCGAUUGCGAAGGCAGCUCACUAAACUAAUAUUGACGCUGAGGGACGAAAGUGUGGGGAGCGAACAGGAUUAGAUACCCUGGUAGUCCACACCGUAAACGAUGAUUACUCGAUGCUAGCGAUACUGUUAGUGUCUAAGCGAAAGCGAUAAGUAAUCCACCUGGGGAGUACGGUCGCAAGAUUGAAACUCAAAGGAAUUGACGGGGGCCCGCACAAGCGGUGGAGCAUGUGGUUUAAUUCGAUGAUACGCGAGGAACCUUACCUGGGCUUAAAUGUAUUUUGACAGGCUGGGAAACCAGUCCUUCUUCGGACAUUUUGCAAGGUGCUGCAUGGCUGUCGUCAGCUCGUGCCGUGAGGUGUUGGGUUAAGUCCCGCAACGAGCGCAACCCCUAUCUUUAGUUGCCAGCGAGUAAUGUCGGGGACUCUAAAGAAACUGCCUACGCAAGUAGAGAGGAAGGCGGGGACGACGUCAAGUCAUCACGGCCCUUACGUCCUGGGCCACACACGUGCUACAAUGGUGGAUACAGAGGGCAGCUACCCCGCGAGGGGAUGCAAAUCUCGAAAGUCCAUCUCAGUUCGGAUUGGAGUCUGCAACUCGACUCUAUGAAGCUGGAAUCGCUAGUAAUCGCGCAUCAGCCAUGGCGCGGUGAAUACGUUCCCGGGCCUUGUACACACCGCCCGUCAAGCCAUGGAAGCUGGGGGUGCCUGAAGUCGGUAACCGUAAGGAGCUGCCUAGGGUAAAACUGGUAACUGGGGCUAAGUCGUAACAAGGUAACC
rnacentral:rRNA from 1 species